AUUGAACGCUGGCGGCAGGCCUAACACAUGCAAGUCGAACGGUAACAGGAAGAAGCUUGCUUCUUUGCUGACGAGUGGCGGACGGGUGAGUAAUGUCUGGGAAACUGCCUGAUGGAGUGGGAUAACUACUGGAAACGGUAGCUAAUACCGCAUAACGUCGCAAGACCAAAGAGGGGGACCUUCGGGCCUCUUGCCAUCGGAUGUGCCCAGAUGGGAUUAGCUAGUAGGUGGGGUAACGGCUCACCUAGGCGACGAUCCCUAGCUGGUCUGAGAGGAUGACCAGCCACACUGGAACUGAGACACGGUCCAGACUCCUACGGGAGGCAGCAGUGGGGAAUAUUGCACAAUGGGCGCAAGCCUGAUGCAGCCAUGCCGCGUGUAUGAAGAAGGCCUUCGGGUUGUAAAGUACUUUCAGCGGGGAGGAAGGGAGUAAAGUUAAUACCUUUGCUCAUUGACGUUACCCGCAGAAGAAGCACCGGCUAACUCCGUG
rnacentral:rRNA from 1 species